CAGUAGCCACGGUAAUACGUAGGUGGCAAGCGUUGUCCGGAAUUAUUGGGCGUAAAGGGCUCGCAGGCGGUUUCUUAAGUCUGAUGUGAAAGCCCCCGGCUCAACCGGGGAGGGUCAUCGGAACCUGGGAAACUUGAGUGCAGAAGAGGAGAGUGGAAUUCCACGUGUAGCGGUGAAAUGCGUAGAGAUGUGGAGGAACACCAGUGGCGAAGGCGACUCUCUGGUCUGUAACUGACGCUGAGGAGCGAAAGCGUGGGGAGCGAACAGGAUUAGAUACCCGGGUAGUCCCUGUCUCUUAUAC
rnacentral:rRNA from 1 species